rnacentral:tRNA from 1 species
GGGCAGUUAGCUCAGCGGUAGAGCAUCCCGUUUACACCGGGACGGUCGGGAGUUCGAUCCUCUCACUGCCCA